rnacentral:tRNA from 1 species
AAGACAUUAGUAAAAUGAAAAUUACACCACCUUGUCAAGGUAGAGUUGUAGGUUAGACCCCUGCAUGUCUUA